rnacentral:rRNA from 1 species
CGAACGUUAGCGGCGCGCCUAACACAUGCAAGUCGCACGAGAAAGGGAGCAAUCCCCGGUACAGUGGCGCACGGGUGAGUAACACGUAGAUGACCUUCCCUGGAGUGGUGGAUAACCUGCCGAAAGGCGGGCUAAUACAGCAUGGGACCACAUGGUUUUGACCGAGUGGUGAAAGCGGGCCUCUGUUCACAAGCUCGCGCUCUGGGAUGGGUCUGCGUCCCAUCAGCUAGUUGGUGAGGUAAUGGCUCACCAAGGCAUCACGGGUAGCUGGUCUGAGAGGAUGACCAGCCACACUGGAACUGAGACACGGUCCAGACUCCUACGGGAGGCAGCAGUGGGGAAUCUUGCGCAAUGGGCGAGAGCCUGACGCAGCGACGCCGCGUGGGUGAUGAAGGCCUUCGGGUUGUAAAGCCCUGUGGGGAGGAACGAACCGUACGGGGGCGAACACCCUCCGUACCUGACGGUACCUCCUUAGCAAGCAUCGGCUAACUCUGUG